AUGUUGGAGUAAAAUCCGGUUCUCACAAGGUUUUGUGGUCUCACAAUCAUUGUACGUUACUUGAGGAUCAAGUUAUAGGAUUAGGGAAUUAACUUGGACUUUACCGGUUGCAAAAGGAAUGUAAUAUUAAGUUGUUAUUCUUGCUAAAGGGGUUCCUAAUCCUGAUUGGUUAAGGAGAUAUAGACAUAUUCAGUUACCUAUUAGGUCUCAAUGAUGGGCUAAGCCUCUUAGGUUAAUAUGUCUAUAUAAGUGAAGGUCCCUGCGUUUGCUGAUAUGCGCAAUAUUCACAAACUCCCCAUACGGUUUGAUUGCUAAGGAUCAGUACAACGUAGAAGACUCUUUGCACACCAAGGUUUCACGCAUGGCGUCUCCAGGUUACUGUCAAUGCUUCUUUGAAUUUCAAUUCAAUCCAAGCUUUAACUAGGACCAACUAUAAAAAGUGGAAGCAAGACAUAGAGAUUAUUCUAGGUCUCAUGGACUUAGAUGUUGCUUUGAGAGAGGAAGAACCAGAUGUUCCUGAAGAGGACGACUCGACUAAGAUUAAAAAUAAGUAUGAAAAGUGGCAUAAGGCAAAUAGGAUGGCAAUUCUCAUUAUGAAAAGGGCAAUGUCUGACACUGUGAGAGGUGGUAUUGCUGAUACGG
rnacentral:sRNA from 1 species